rnacentral:rRNA from 1 species
UAGGGAAUCUUCGGCAAUGGGGGGAACCCUGACCGAGCAACGCCGCGUGAGUGAAGAAGGUUUUCGGAUCGUAAAGCUCUGUUGUUAAGGAAGAACGAGUGUGAGAAUGGAAAGUUCAUACUGUGACAGUACUUAACCAGAAAGGGACGGCUAACUACGUUCCAGCAGCCGCGGUAAUACGUAGGUCCCGAGCGUUGUCCGGAUUUAUUGGGCGUAAAGCGAGCGCAGGCGGUUAGAUAAGUCUGAAGUUAAAGGCAGUGGCUCAACCAUUGUAGGCUUUGGAAACUGUUUAACUUGAGUGCAGAAGGGGAGAGGGGAAUUCCAUGUGUAGCGGUGAAAUGCGUAGAUAUAUGGAGGAACACCGGUGGCGAAAGCGGCUCUCUGGUCUGUAACUGACGCUGAGGCUCGAAAGCGUGGGUAGCAAACAGG